GACGAACGCUGGCGGCGUGCUUAACACAUGCAAGUCGUACGGUAAGGCCCUUUCGGGGGUACACGAGUGGCGAACGGGUGAGUAACACGUGAGUAAUCUGCCCACAACUUUGGGAUAACGCUAGGAAACUGGUGCUAAUACUGGAUAUGUGCUCCUGCUGCAUGGUGGGGGUUGGAAAGCUCCGGCGGUUGUGGAUGGACUCGCGGCCUAUCAGCUUGUUGGUGGGGUAGUGGCCUACCAAGGCGGCGACGGGUAGCCGGCCUGAGAGGGUGACCGGCCACAUUGGGACUGAGAUACGGCGCAGAAUCCUACGGGAGGCAACAGUGGGGAAUAUUGCACAAUGGGCGCAAGCCUGAUGCAGCAACGCCGCGUGCGGGAUGACGGCCUUCGGGUUGUAAACCGCUUUCAGCAGGGACGAAGCAUUUUGUGACGGUACCUGAAGAAGAAGCACCGGCUAACUACGUG
rnacentral:rRNA from 1 species